UUAAAGUGCUCUUCUUGCUCUAGGUUGACGGAGGUUGUGUAGGUCAGAAACGAGCCAGAAGAGAGGAAGAAGAAGGGGUCUUGGAGCCUAGAAGAUAUUAUUAGCAGCUCAUUGAUGGCCUAGGGUAUUGCCAUGGUAGAGACUAGGAAAGAGGUAACAACUGUUGAAGAUCCAUUUGAUGCGCCCACUUACAAUAUACGAGAUAAGCUAAUGACAUUUAUAGAAUGAGCUUCAUAUAGUGUUGUAAUCCUGGCUGGACUAAGAAUUGUUGCUAAUGCUAUAGUGGUUAAAGAACUUAUCUUUGAAACAAAGGAGUAAAAGGUUUUUAACAAAGCUUUACAGUUUGCACAUGAUUCAAGACGACAAUCAGUUUUUUCAUUGGCUGAGGUCUGUAUUAGAUUUGUGUUCGACACAUUGUCACUUUUGUAAUAUUAUUCUCGGGUACCAUAUUACGCCCAUAAAUUUUCUAAACAUU